GACGGGGCCCGCACAAGCGGUGGAGUAUGUGGUUUAAUUCGAUGCAACGCGAAGAACCUUACCUGGUCUUGACAUCCCGGAGACCCUUAGGAAACUAGGGGUGCUUCCAUCUGGAAGAACCUGGAGACAGGUGCUGCAUGGCUGUCGUCAGCUCGUGUCGUGAGAUGUUGGGUUAAGUCCCGCAACGAGCGCAACCCUUGCCUUUAGUUGCCAGCAGUUCGGCUGGGCACUCUAAAGGGACUGCCGGUGUUAAACCGGAGGAAGGUGGGGAUGACGUCAAGUCCUCAUGGCCUUUAUGACCAGGGCUACACACGUACUACAAUGGCCGAUACAAAGGGCAGCGACACUGCGAGGUGAAGCCAAUCCCGUAAAAUCGGUCUCAGUCCGGAUUGGAGUCUGCAACUCGACUCCAUGAAGUUGGAAUCGCUAGUAAUCGUGGAUCAGCAUGCCACGGUGAAUACGUUCCCGGGCCUU
rnacentral:rRNA from 1 species